ACUUGUCCAUGCCUACAACUGUACUAAAAAUGAAGUCACUGGCUACACCCCAUACGAACUAAUGUUUGGACGUUGUCCUCGUCUCCCCAUUGACCUCGCUUUUAAUCUUCCUGUACGUGAGAAAGAACAACAGACACAUUCACAGUAUGUGCAAGACUUAAAAGCUAGGUUGAAAGAAAGUUAUCUGCUAUCUUCAAAGAAUGCUGCAAAGAACGCUGAGAGGAACAAGACUCGAUUUGACCAACGUAUUAUACCGUCCAAGCUAGAAGUUGGAAGCAGAGUUUUGGUACGGAACAUGAGGCUGAGGGGCAAACAUAAACUCGCUGACAAAUGGGAACCAGAUGUCUUUGUAGUGCUGAAAUGUGCCAAAGAUCUCCCCGUCUACACUGUAAAACCAGAAUGCAAAGACGGCCCAAUUCGCACAUUGCACAGAGAUCUCCUUCUUCCGUGUGGGUUUCUUCCUGCAACAGAGUCAGGACCAUCAGAUGAGACUAUUCCAAUCACACCCUCUUUAACUCGUCAACAGGCCAAGAAACAACAGGAAUCUCCUGAGUACUUUGUUGAAGAGAAUGUAUUUGAACCGACCUUUGUCCACCUUGCCCCGCUCCCAAUGGAGUUUAGAGUGGAGAAGUCUCUCAAUCCCCUACAGUCUUUUCCCAGUGGUGAGGAGGAAAGACUUCCUCCAACAUCUACACCUGAAAUGGAAUCAGCUGGAGAAGCUCUGUCAGGAUCCCAGAGGGAAGACCCAUUGGAGUUUGAUGCUGAUGAAACAUCAGGGGAAGAUUUGCUUGAAAUCUUACCCGAACCCAUUCUUGAAACCAUGUCUACAGACUUGUCCGAUCCUGGAGUCUCUGACAACUUAGCGGCCGAACCUAGUCCUAUGACAUUACCAACUCUUAAUUGCUCAGAUUCGGUUAUUGACCCCCCUUUGAGGCGGUCAACGCGUCACAGAUCACCACCUAGGCGACUGCAGUAUGCCCGCUUAGGCAAUCCAUUGAUAUCAGUUGUUCAGUCUCUGUUUCAUAGUCUGUCAGAUGCUUUAACCACCGCAACCACCAAUUCUAACCCUUCAGUCGUACAUAUUGUGUAGUGUUGUCAUGCAACGGGACGUGCAUGUAUUCAAGGGGGGAGGGUGUAACCCAGAGUAAUUUCCUGCACUUAUUUCCUCCCAUUGAACGCAUCACAAAUGCAUGACUCCAACCACAUGACUUUGCUCAGCCAAUCGAAUGGCAUGUAGGUCAUAGUAAGCCUGUCCCGGCUUCCUCCCGUCAGAUGCGUGGAGGCAAGCCAGGUGACAGAGCUGUUGCAGGUGUGUAUUGGCAAACAUUUGCUUUUCCCGUUUUAAUGCAUUUUCUUAACACCAACUAACUUAUGCAACUUAGAUGCUGAUUACUGUGAGCCAGAGCCAUAAUGUUGUUGUGCACUGAACAGAAUGGAAUUGGUGAGUUUGAACUUUUAAUUGACUGUUUGUAUUGCUACCAGCUGACCCUAAUCGGCUGCUGCCGGUCCAAACAAUUUGAUUUUGAUUUGACUGAUAGUUGUUGAAUAACAAAUGUUGUGGAGCUACAUAGUAUGUAUGUAUGUAGCAGUUGAAAUGUUUUCAGUUAAAUCCUUAUUGGUUAGAAAUAUUAUAUUUAACCAAUAUAUUGUUUGUUUAUUUUUAUAAAUUGUGUACACAGGAACAAGAAUAACUUAAUGUAUUUAGCUUAAUUGGCUGACAUUUUUGUAUGUUAUUCUUGUGAUUUCUUAUUGGCCUUGUUUAUUUAAUGCAGGCCAGGUGAACCUUUUUUGGGUAUGGAAAAGGAUGGCGAGCCAAUGAACGGCUAGGAGCAGGACUCAUUCUGCAUUGAAGCUUCCACUGGACUGAUUCUCCACACGGAGCGGACAUUCCCGGACUCUCUCAUCAUUGCUCUUGGGGACUUUAACAAAGCCAAUCUGAGCCAUGAGCUUCCAAAAUAUAAGCAGUAUAUUAAAUGCCCGACCAGAGAGGAGAGGACAUUGGACCACUGUUACAGUACGAUCAGCGGGGCCUAUCGCGCGGUGCCCCGCGCUUCACUCUGACUUUCUGACCACGUCAUGAUCCACCUAAUCCCCGCGUACAGACAGAGGCUGAAGCUCUCCAAACCUGUCGUGAGGACUAAAAAACUGUGGAGCAACGAGGCUGUGGAGGAGCUUCGCACGUGUUUGGAGACCACAGACUGGGACACAUUGAAGGCUGCUUCUAACAGCUUGGACGAGUUUACGGACACUGUCACCUCCUAUAUCCACUUCUGUGAGGACAGCAUUGUGCCAUCACGCACCAGGGUGAGUUAUAACAAUGACAAACCCUGGUUUACUCCUAAACUCAAAAAGCUGUGGCUGGAAAAGAGAAAGGCGUUCAGAAGCGGAGACAGGGACUGCUACAGAGAGGCCAAGUACAGGUUCACUAAAGAAGUGGACAUUGCUAAACAUCAGCACUCUGAGAAGAUGCAGCAGCAGAUCUCAGAGAAUGACUCGGCCUCUGUGUGGAAAGGUUUUUAGGAAUAUCACAAACUACAAGCCUAAAACCCCCCACUCCACUGAUGACUUGCUCUUAGCCAACACCCUUAACGACUUCUACUGCCAUUUAGACGAGCCAUCAGGCAGCCUUCACACCUCCAACGACCCCAACAAUAGAGGCACUUUGGACACUCAUUCCCCCACCUCUCCCCCCUCCAUAUAGCCAUCACCACCUUCAAACUGUUCACCUGCAACACCCGCCCCCUCACCCCACACAAAAGAGGAUUUCACACCACCUCCUCUCACCACAACUCUUCAUAUUCAUGAAGCAGAUGUGAGGAAGCAGUUUAAGAGUCUGAAUGCUCGGAAAGCUCCCGGCCCAGACGGCGUGUCUCCUGCCACCCUCAGACACUGUGCAAACGAGCUGGCCCCAGUGUUUUCUGGCAUCUUCAACUCCUCACUGCAGGCAUUUCAUGUGCCUGCCUGCUUCAAGUCCUCCACCAUAAUCCCUGUCCCCAAGAAACCUAGGAUCACUGGACUAAAUGACUACAGACCCGUGGCUCUGACAUCUGUGGUCAUGAAGUCAUUUGAGCGCCUAGUUCUCUCCCAUCUCAAGACCCUCACGGCCCCCCUCCUGGACCCCCUGCAGUUUGCAUAUAGAGCCAACAGGUCUGUAGACGACGCCAUCAACAUGGCCCUACACUUCAUCCUGCAGCAUCUGGACUCCCCAGGAACCUACGCCAGGAUCCUGUUUGUGGACUUCAGCUCUGCCUUCAACACCAUCCUUCCAGACCAUCUCCGAGGCAAGCUUUCCCAGAUGAAUGUGCCUGAUCCCAUCUGCCGGUGGAUCACUG
ensembl:lncRNA